rfam:Stachybotrys chartarum IBT 40288 unplaced genomic scaffold C40866, whole genome shotgun sequence.
CAGAUUAUGGCCGAAUGGUAAGGUGCCCUGUUUGGGACAGGGACUAUAUGAGUUCGAAUCUUAUUGAUCUGA